rnacentral:misc_RNA from 1 species
UCCGAGUUGACCCCGGCAGUCUCCCAUGAGUCCCCGGCAUAACCCGCUGGCAACAUGGGACAAGGGUUGCGCUCGUUGCGGGACUUAACCCAACAUCUCACGACACGAGCUGACGACAACCAUGCACCACCUGUGCACCGACCUUGCGGGGCCACCAUCUCUGGCGGUUUCCGGUGCAUGUCAAGCCUUGGUAAGGUGGGGAUGACGUAGCUAAGCCUUC